CCUGGUGGCUAUACCGAGGUGGCUGCACCCGAUCCCAUUCCGAACUCGGCCGUGAAACGCCUCCGGGCUGAUGGUACUUCGUCUCAAGACGCGGGAGAGUAGGUCGUUGCCAGGU
rnacentral:rRNA from 1 species